CUUAAAGGUAGGCAGACAAUGUAAUAGAACAGCAGGAAAUGCUAGCAGAAUGCUUGGUUGUAUAGGGAGAGGUAUUAGCAGUAGAAAGAGGGAAGUGCUCAUGCCAUUGUACAGAACACUGGUGAGACCUCACUUGGAGUAUUGUACGCAGUACUGGAGACCGUAUCUUCAGAAGGAUAUUGAUACCUUAGAGAGAGUUCAGAGAAGGGCUACUAAACUGGUUCAUGGAUUGCAGGAUAAAACUUACCAGGAAAGGUUAAAGGAUCUUAACAUGUAUAGCUUGGAGGAAAGACGAGACAGG